AAGAGAAAAUUUGAAGGAACUUCAGGUUCCAGUAAGAAAAGUAAAUUUUCGAAGUCUACUUCGAAAAAGUUUGGAAGCAAAGGAGGCGAAGCGAAAUAGUGUGAGAAGUGCAAGAAAAAACACUUUGGGAAAUGUAGUGAGGAAGUAACCUGCUACAAGUGUGGAAAAAUUAGGCAUUUUGCCAAUGAGUGUCCGUCCAACAAAAGGAUGUGUUUUGGUUGUAAUGAAGAGGGGCACAUUUUGAAAGACUGUCCGAAGAAGAAGGAGGCAGCUAAGCCCAACAAUCCACCAAAACCGAAGGCGAGAGCCUUUUAGAUGACACUUAAGGCUGCGAAAGAUGAAGUUGAUGUCGCUUCAGGUACCUUUCUCGUAAACGAAUUGCUUGCUCAAAUUUUGAAUGAUUAUGGAGCCAACUACUCCUUUAUAUCGCAUGAAUUUGGUAGAAAACUAGCUUUGCCUGUUGAUAGACUAGAUAAUGCUCUAUUAGUCGAAGUUGCUAGUGGCAAGUUUGUACCUGUUAGCCAUCGUAUGAAAAACAUCUUAAUUCACUUGAAUGGGAAUAAGUUUCACGAGGAAGUAUUGCCUAUCGAACUUAACGAUUUCGACAUCGUGUUUCACUUGAAUGGGAAUAAGUUUCACGAGGAAGUAUUGCCUAUCGAACUUAACGGUUUCGACAUCGUGUUGGGAAUGGAUUGGCUUAGUGCCAAUGAUGCCGAAAUAUUGUGCAGAAAGA
rnacentral:lncRNA from 1 species